GGGACUUGGUAGGAGCCUGAGGAUCAGCGCUUUUCCGGCUUCUCUCCGCCGACCCCGCAGAGAGCGAGCUGGAGCUGGGCGCUGGGGAGAAAUGCAGUUCCUGUUUGAGACGAGGACAUUUGAAAAGUUUUUCAUGGGGUGCUGCUUCCCAGGAAAACACUGGAUCCAAGGAUCCAAGGAUCCUGCCUUCAGUUUCCCUCAGCCUGGAUACAGAAUCCCAGUUGUGGCAAGAGACCCCAGAGGACAUUCUUGUCUGAACAAGAAUCUUCUCUAUUUCUUUCCCGAUAAGUGGUUGCCUAGCUCCUGCUUGAAGACCUCCAGGCCCAGGAGACUUGUUACCUAUUGAGACAGUUCAUUUGACUUUUGCCUUUGUCUUUUUCCUUCCCCUCUGCCUGUCUAAAUGUAUGAUCUUUUGAGGCCUAGACCAGGUCUCACUUCUCCCAUGACAUCUUGCCUGACUGCUCCAGGCCUUUCUAAUAUCUCCUUUUCCUGUACUCCUACUACUUUGUACUCCUACUACCUUUUUCCUGUAGUCCUACUACCUUGUACUUCCUACUGCAUUGCACAGUAUAAGCACUAAGUUAUGUCCUACCCUAUGUUGUUUUCUAAUGGUUUCACUUAUGUUAGUCUUUUUCCCCCUUAAACAGACUACAAGCUUUUUGAAAGGAAAUACGUAGUACUUUUUUUCCCCAUCUCUCCCUCUUGCUCCUCUCCCUGCCUAAUCUGAUGCCAAGCACAGGUCUAGGUACAUAGUACUUAGUCAUAAUUACAGAGUACUUAUUAGUACUAAAUUGUAAUAUAGUGGAAUGCCAGAGAACAUAGAAUGUUAGAACAGGACAAGACCUUUGAGAUCAUCUGGCCUAACUUCCUGAUUUUACAGAUGGGGAUACUGAAGCCCAGAAGAGAAAAUGAUUUGCUCAAAGUUAAAUAGCUAAGUAGCAGUGGAACAGGAAGUAGAAUCUAGGGCUUUUAUUUCCUACCCCCAAUGCCUCAGGAGAAUGUAAGCUCCUGAAGAAAGAAGCAAUAUUUCAUCUUUGUAUCUCUGGAGUC